GAUGAACGCUGGCGGCGUGCCUAAUACAUGCAAGUCGAGCGAACAGACGAGGAGCUUGCUCCUCUGACGUUAGCGGCGGACGGGUGAGUAACACGUGUAUAACCUACCUAUAAGACUGGGAUAACUUCGGGAAACCGGAGCUAAUACCGGAUAAUAUAUUGAACCGCAUGGUUCAAUAGUGAAAGACGGUUUUGCUGUCACUUAUAGAUGGAUCCGCGCCGCAUUAGCUAGUUGGUAAGGUAACGGCUUACCAAGGCAACGAUGCGUAGCCGACCUGAGAGGGUGAUCGGCCACACUGGAGCUGAGACACGGUCCAGACUCCUACGAGAGGCAGCAGUAGGGAAUCUUCCGCAAUGGGCGAGAGCCUGACGGAGCAACGCCGCGUGAGUGAUGACGGUCUUCGGAUCGUAAAACUCUGUUAUUAGGGAAGAACAAAUGUGUAAGUAACUAUGCACGUAUUGACGGUACCUAAUCAGAAAGCCACGGCUAACUACGUG
rnacentral:rRNA from 1 species